rfam:Stegodyphus mimosarum contig114378, whole genome shotgun sequence.
GCCUUCGUGGUGUAGUGGUCAGCACGCUCGACGCUUAACCGAGAGGUCCGCGGUUCGAUUCCCGGCGAAGGCG